rnacentral:sRNA from 1 species
AUGAUCGGGAUUUGGAUCUAUCCUCUCUUCCAAACACCCCGAUCGACCUGCAACAUCCUCCUCCCAGUUGCCGGUCAUACGUAUGGACGCCCAUCGGAUUGCGCAUCCGGUGGGCGUCUUCG